GACGGAGGAUGCAAGUGUUAUCCGGAAUCACUGGGCGUAAAGCGUCUGUAGGUGGUUUAAUAAGUCAACUGUUAAAUCUUGAGGCUCAACCUCAAAAUCGCAGUCGAAACUAUUAGGCUAGAGUAUAGUAGGGGUAAAGGGAAUUUCCAGUGGAGCGGGUGAAAUGCGUAGAGAUUGGAAAGAACACCGAUGGCGAAGGCACUUUACUGGGCUAUUACUAACACUCAGAGACGAAAGCUAGGGUAGCAAAUGGG
rnacentral:rRNA from 1 species